rnacentral:rRNA from 1 species
GACGAACGCUGGCGGCGUGCUUAACACAUGCAAGUCGAGCGGUAAGGCCCUUUCGGGGUACGACGAGCGGCGAACGGGUAGGAGUAACAACGUGGGUGGACCUCGCCCUCCAGCUCCUGGGAGUAAAGCCUCGGGAAACCGGGGUACCGUAAUAACUGGAGUAUGACUCCAUGACGCAUGUUGUGGGGUGGGAAAGACCUU